GAAAAGAAACCAACAGGGAUUGCCCUAGUAACGGCGAGUGAAGCGGCAACAGCUCAAAUUUGAAAUCUGGCCUCGGCCCGAGUUGUAAUUUGCAGAGGAUGCUUUUGGCGCGGUGCCUUCCGAGUUCCCUGGAACGGGACGCCACAGAGGGUGAGAGCCCCGUAUGGUUGGACACCAAGCCUGUGUAAAGCUCCUUCGACGAGUCGAGUAGUUUGGGAAUGCUGCUCAAAAUGGGAGGUAAAUCUCUUCUAAAGCUAAAUACCGGCCAGAGACCGAUAGCGCACAAGUAGAGUGAUCGAAAGAUGAAAAGCACCUUGAAAAGGGGGUUAAACAGUACGUGAAAUUGUUGAAAGGGAAGCGCUUGUGACCAGACUUGCGCCUGGCGGCUCAUCCGGGGUUCUCUCCGGUGCACUCCGCCAGGCUCAGGCCAGCAUCGGUUCUCGCGGGGGGAUAAGAUCGGCGGGAACGUAGCACCCUCCGGGGUGUGUUAUAGCCCGUCGAACGAUACCCUCGCGGGGACCGAGGUUCGCGCUCCGCAAGGAUGCUGGCGUAAUGGUCAUCAGCGACCCGUCUUGAAACACGGACCAAGGAGUCGUCCAUUAUAGCGAGCGUUUGGGUGUAAAACCCGCACGCGUAAUGAAAGUGAAAUUAGGUGAGAGCUUCGGCGCAUCAUCGACCGAUCCUGAUGUUCUCGGAAGGAUUUGAGUAAGAGUUAUAACGGACGGACCCGAAAGACAGUGAACUAUGCUUGUAUAGGGUGAAGCCAGAGGAAACUCUGGUGGAGGCUCGCAGCGGUUCUGACGUGCAAAUCGAUCGUCAAAUAUGAGCAUGGGGGCGAAAGACUAAUCGAAC
rnacentral:rRNA from 1 species